rnacentral:rRNA from 1 species
UGUGUCUCAAGAUAGCCAUGCACGUCUAAGUACAAACUAAAUGAUGGUGAAACUGCAAAUGGCUCAUUACAACGGUUAUGAUGUACCCGGGAGUUCCGAUGGAUAUUUCCAGUAACACUAGAACUAAUACAUGUCCCUGCGUUUAUUAGUUUCGCACAGUCCGUCGCUGAGUCAUGGUAAACAGUUGAUCGACUCGACGUCCCGGAACAGUUUCCGCCCCAUCAGCUUCGAUGGUUGGGUAUUGGCCUACCAUUGCAACAACGGGUAACGAGGAAUUAUGGUUUGAUUUCGGAGAGGGAGCCUGAGAAACGGCUACCACAUCUACGGAUGGCAGCAGGCGCGCAAAUUACCCAAUGCAGACACUGUGAGGUAGUGACGAGAAAUAAUAAAGCGGGACUUCUGUUUCGCUAUUAUAAUGAGGAAUAACCAAAGGUCAUUCCGAUUAGCAACUGAUGGGAAAGUCUGGUGCCAGCAGCCGCGGUAAUACCAGCGUCAGUAGC